UAUAUAUCUAUCUUUAAGUAUAACAUUAACUAUGAUACUAUGUUUWUAUCUUUAUAUAAAUAAUCUUAAUUAAUGGWWUWUAUUUUG
rnacentral:tRNA from 1 species